UUACCCAAUCCCGAUUCGGGGAGGUAGUGACAAUAAAUAACAAUACAGGGCCAACGGUCUUGUUAUUGGAAUGAGAGCAAUUUAAAUAACUUAACGAGGAUCAAUUAGAGGGCAAGUCUGGUGCCAGCAGCCGCGGUAAUUCCAGCUCUAAUAGCGUAUAUUAAAGUUGUUGCAGUUAAAAAGCUCGUAGUCGGAUGUCGGGCUCGGGCAAGCUGUCGGCCUUUGGUCGGACGGCAGGCUCGGGUCUUUCUGCCUGAGGAACCCGGUUGCUUUAACGAGCUGCCGGUGGACGCAGGUCGUUUACUUUGAAAAAAUUAGAGUGUUCAAAGCAGGCUAGCGCUUGAAUACAUUAGCAUGGAAUAAUGGAAUAGGACUUUGGUGCUAUUUUGUUGGUUUAUGGGACCGAAGUAAUGAUUAACAGGGACAGUUGGGGCCGUUUAUAUUUCGUUGUCAGAGGUGAAAUUCUUGGAUUUACGAAAGAUAAACUUCUGCGAAAGCAUUCGGCAAGGAUGUUUUCAUUGAUCAAGAACGAAAGUUAGGGGAUCGAAGACGAUCAGAUACCGUCGUAGUCUUAACCAUAAACUAUGCCGACUAGGGAUCAGUGGAUGUCAAUUUGCGACUCCAUUAGCACCUUGUGAGAAAUCAAAGUUUUCGGGUUCCGGGGGGAGUAUGGUCGCAAGGCUGAAACUUAAAGGAAUUGACGGAAGGGCACCACCAGGAGUGGAGCCUGCGGCUUAAUUUGACUCAACACGGGGAAACUUACCAGGUCCAGACAUAGUAAGGAUUGACAGAUUGAAAGCUCUUUCUUGAUUCUAUGGGUGGUGGUGCAUG
rnacentral:rRNA from 1 species